CAUUGCCCUCAGCCUGGUCCAUGGCGGUCCACCGCCAUGUUUUCUGUCAAAGACUCUUUUCACGGGCAUAUCCGAGGGAGCAGACCAGUGCCAGCCAGAGCUGGAAGACGUCACUGAUUCUGAUCUGCGCGACAAACUAACAAAGGUUUCUGAAGCCACGACACUACAUGACCUGCAGCUGUCUGUGGAGCCUAUCAGCGACUACUUGGCCACCGCUGGCUGCUUAAGGCUCUUAACAUCCUUGACCGACAAAUAUCCACUGCUGGAGGACAUCCUGAUGUUCCACGUGGUCCAUCGUGUUCGGGCACCCUUGGAGCGAUUCAAAGACGGGCUGAAAACCCUAGGCGUGUUGCCGAAAAUACAACAGCACCCAGAGGCAUUUCGCCCGCUGCUGUGCUACAACCCUCCCACGCUCACAGCCGACUCUCUGGAUUGUCUCUUCACCAUCAACUGGUCCGAGGAUGGGAGCAACUCCCGGAUUGGCGAGAA